GGGGUGGUAGCUCAGCUGGUAGAGCGUCGGCGUGGCACGCCGAAGGAAAGUUCAGGGGUUCGGGUCCCCUCUUCUCCA
rnacentral:tRNA from 1 species